UAUAAAAUGUAUCUUGUCAGAAUGUGUCAGAACCGCUAAGCUCUUUUCGGCUGAACAGACUGCAGCUGGCGCUUGGUCCCGGAGGCUGACUCCACUCCGUGUGUCCUCUGGGUUGCGGCAGUGAACCGGUCCGGCUGGCACCCCGCUGCAGGUCUAGCCGCGAGGGAGGCGUGGGGUCAGAUGAGUGUGUCCCAGCGGCCGGCCCGGUGACACGAGCCUGCAGGGCCGGGCCAGGGCCUGGAGAUAGGACCCGCCAGCAAGUAUGCGGAGAAUGUUUUUCUUCGGACUCUCCGGAGGCUCGCAGACCACAGGGAUUCCGUCCGCAGUGACAGCCUUAACAUUUGCCAGAGCCCUGGACGCCACUGCAGAAAUGGCAUUGCCCACCCGGAAAGUGAGAAGGUUGCAUAAAGAGGCAAAAUGAUGGGUUUGGGAGACACGUUGUCAAGGAGAGAGAGAAACAGCUGAAUUGAGACCAGCUCUAAGAAUCAACUGAGCAUUCUCCGGACCAGUGAAAGAGGUAUUUGUAAAAAUGAAAACAAAAAGACAAGAAGCAUUCUCAAUUUCCCCAUAAUUGUCCUUGUCUGUCUCCUACACAAAUAUGUAUUUCCAUGUGGCAGAAAUACACUUAUUUUCUUCCUCAUCAGUUAUCAGCAAUGGCUGGAGAAAUAAUGGAUACAAGUGUAAAAAAGGACAUGUAAUAUAUGUCCCAACUCUUUCAAAAUAGGGGUGGGAUGGGUUCGAUAAAACAACAUUUUAAAUAUGUGCUUUUGAAAAACAAACAAAAUCUCGAUUCCUCGGGGCUUAUUUUAAUUUGGUGUUAGGACGGCACAAGGCUACCCCGGUACAGGCGUUAGGAACCCUCAGUGCAAACACAGGUCAAAACGGCAACGGCACCACCUGCCUCAAAAUGUGAGCAGCAAGCACAGAACAGGCUUCUGGUGUGAAAGGAGUGCCUACGGAACGAGUCUUCAAAACGUCAGCACCAGCAGAGGUGGAUCCGUGUGGAACAAAUGCACACCAGCUCUGGUCUUUCUCCAGGACACGUCUGUGUUCCCAGAGACCCGCAUCUCCCGCAUCUUGACUGAGGAGAACACUUUUGGUUUGGGGAGCCCCAGGAUGCUAACAGCAGUGGGGAAGCCUGAUGCGGCGUGUCCGCAGCUACAGAAAGGCCAGAGCAGCCUGCGGAGGACAGGGGUCUGCAGGAGGGUGGGGAGGGCCGCAGUUUGGGCGACGAGAAUUUCCUCCACCCGGGGAAGGGCGAGGGGCACCGGGCUCAGACGUCCCUCGGCCCUCCUGUGUGAAAACCCCAGGACACGAACCACUCUGGGCCAGGACUUUCUGUUUUUAAAAAUCUCUUUGGCCCCCAGACGUUACGAACAGAAGAAUGCCGAAGUCUGCAACUCCAGGGCAAUCACCGUGUCAGCUCGGAGCCGAGAUGUUUCCCCGAAUGAACACCUGGGUGAUGUAAAUCACCCCAGGGGUAAACACUUCAGGCCUGGAUGCAGGCUGGGCGGGGUGCACUCUCCCACCGGCCAGGUCCAUAAACCAGGCGCUGGCCGGCCCUGCAAAUGCUCCUUUCACCGACAAAGACCCCCCUCUGGGCCUGGGAGCAGAUGCCUGCCCGGAGGUCGCUCAGAUAACGGCCAGGGGGGCUCCCACCCUCCCUUCUGGCCAACUUACCCUGCGCUGCUCUGGGGGAGUGGAGCUGUCAGAGGUUUCUGUCCUUAUGAAUGACUUUACCAUACCUACAGGCGGGAGUCGGGGCUACCGGCUUCGAGCUGGAUAUUUGUAAAGGGCGGCAUGCAAAUAUGAACCCUAAAAAAAGAUGAUUUGUGCUUUAAUAUCAUGAUAGUAAAAUCAUAACAGGAGUAAUAGCAGUAAUCUAAAGAGCUAUAUGAAAUAAUCCCUGGGACAGUAGAAUCAAAGCGGCAUUUCCUCUUUUAAAACAGUGAAUUAAGAUAUUAAACUCUCUCUUCCCCCUCACUGUCUUAAAUUCUUUGACUUUUAAUGGAUAACCAUUCGGUUGGUACACUCCACUGAUAAAAAAAUCCCUGAGUGGGGGCAAGUAGAUGGCAGAUGGCAAAAUAUAUUCCCGCAAAGACUGCCAAGUUGAGAAUUUCUUCAUGUUCUGAUGCUCUAAGUUAAGAAAAAGGUCUCUCCUAAUUAUCGGGCUAGGAGGGGUCUUUUAAAUGAUAUCGCCUGUCUUUAGCCAGACAGACGUGAGGACGAGCAACGUAAACAUUAUAAAAGCAGCCUUCAGCACAGGCUUUUUAUGGCUCUAUCCCUUUCCACUCGCAGCACGAAUUAGAGAAACACACAGAAUUUGAGAGAAGUUAUUCUGCCUCCGGGAUCAACCUUGCACCAAAGAAAAAUAACCCAGAGAAAUUAUUCUGCUGCCUGAAACGAAGGCAGGAUCAAAUGGUUGCUGAUCAGAGCAAAUGUUUAAAUUGGAUAAGUCAAAUCGAGCGUUAUUAAAUAAAGCUUGUUUAAUGUGUCUCGGACAGAAAACGUCUUUUGAAGAGUGCUGUAAACCUGAUAUUAGGAAUCUGGCCGAGUGCACGUCUUGGGGCUCGAUCGGUGCGCACCGGAACCGUGUUCUUACGACAGAAAAUGUGAUAUUCUCCCUUCAUGAUGUAUUUUUUUUCCCUGUGUAUUAAAUGAAAGCAGAAAGGUUUUUAUGUAGUUCUUGAAAACUGUUAAUGCGAGUUAAUAAAUAGGAG
ensembl:lncRNA